rnacentral:rRNA from 1 species
UACAGAGGGCUCAAGCGUUGUUCGGAUUCAUUGGGCGUAAAGGGUGCGUAGGUGGCGUCGUAAGUCGGGUGUGAAAUUUCGGAGCUUAACUCCGAAACUGCAUUCGAUACUGCGGUGCUUGAGGACUGGAGAGGAGACUGGAAUUUACGGUGUAGCAGUGAAAUGCGUAGAGAUCGUAAGGAAGACCAGUGGCGAAGGCGGGUCUCUGGACAGUUCCUGACACUGAGGCACGAAGGCCAGGGGAGCAAACGGG